UUUCAUCCGGUUUUCCCAUGACCAUGCAGAUGAUAAAGGGUAUCAUUCCUUGUAAUAUUUUUGUUUGUCAGGACAAGACGUCAUUACCACCAAAACCUUCUGAUAUGAAAAGAACAUGAAUGGAUCGCGGGGAGCUGGAAAAGAUCCUACUCAAGCUUUUUGAGAGGCAGUUGAAUUGGUCACUGAAGCAGCUAAUGCAAGAAACCGACCAACCUAAGAAAUUUCUAAAGGAAAUACUGAACGAUCUCUGUCUACAACAAGCGAGGGCCAAAUCAAGGGACAUAUGAGCUCAAGCCAGAAUACAAGAAGUCUACAGGGACAACCGCACUACUUGAAGUUUAUGCUAUCUUUUCUAAGCUAGAACGUCUUGCCUUGAUAUGCUGAAUAUGACUUCCCUAAUAAUAUGAUGACCUGUAAGGAGAGAUUGGAUGGACAAGAGUGGGAGUCUCACUGCCUUUCGCGUGGUAUACUUUAGACCUUCACGGCCCCCUUUGGUUCACAGGAUUUUCAAAGGAAAAACGUAGGAAUUCACAGUCCUCUGGAAUGGGUACUGUAGAGCCCUUUGGUUCAUAGGAAACGAUCGAGGGAAAAACACAAGAAACUUCCCUAUCUUUCAACUUUCACAGGAAAACUGCAGGAAACUAACAAUCCACUCGGAUCUCUUUUUUUGGUUGGCUCGCGUAGGAUGGAGGCAAAUUGGUCGUCAUUAGGCACUGCUAAAGAAGCAACAACAACAGGAGUUAUAUAGGCAGUCAACGGCGACUCGACGAGGGAGGACCGGAGUCUCAAUUUGCCGAAGGAGCACCGUAGGCUAGUGCUGCAGCAGAUCGAGCGCUCUGCACCCGCACCUUGGCCCGCCGCUCACUGCUCGCCAGCCACUUACCGAGAGCCCGCCAGCUCGAGUUGUGGUGAAGAGAGAGAGAGAGAGAAAGGAGUGGAUAGGAAGAAAAACGAACUAUGUACACAAAGGAAGGGAUAAGAAUGAUGUAGGCCAACAGACCAGCACAGGGAAUUCUUUUUUCUUCUUUUUGAUCCAUACCGGUUUCCUCAAAGAAAAAUGUUAGAUCAUAACAAAAUAUAAUACCAGCAGAAGUUCACUAAUGACUGGCCUGAGGAGAAGGAACACUUCCACCACCACUUAAGAUGCUACCUAGAGAACACGAAAGUUUGGCAUUAGAAGCUGCAUAACCACAGAUUUGGAUAUGACGAUGGCACAAUGAUAGCUUUAGCUGCAGAGUGCUAUUGGUUUAAUUUGUUUCUAUCUCCCAAACAACAAUCCAUAUGCAAGACUCCCCUGUAAGAUUCAUGUGCAUUUACACGAGCUUAUUUAGAACUUACCUAU